UGAUCUGCUGGCUUCUAGUAGACUCCAGCCACAAGGUUCCCUUUGUUGUCUUGGUCUCUAAUCAACCUGCUCAUGGCUAUUCUCAAGAGACAGCUAUACUUCCCAGAUGAUACAGAAUUGUCACCGAACCUCUGGUAUCAAGACACAUUCAGAAAUGACAGAGAUGGUCAUUGUCAGUAUAUUUAAGCCAUUAUGGAAAAGUGUAUACUGGAAAAUACACUUGUAAUUUACAAAUACUGUAUUGACAGAACAAUUGCACUUGCUUCCUUUGCUUGCAAGUGAAGUAAAAUCAAUUUAUUGGCAUCUGCAUAUUGGUGAUUUCAUAGGAGAAUUUUAGAAGCCUCUUUGAUCCAGUGCUAGUUUUGAGCAUUCAGAAACUGAAGUCACAGCAGCCUGCUGCAUGUCAUCUGUCCACCUCCUUUCUAGCUGCUCUCUGUUAUGAUGACUUGUCACCAUUCCCUACAUAAUUACGUUCUCAAGGUUAUUUCCAUCUCCACUCCUGAUGUGUCCAAAGCACACACAUUUACACCUAUUCAUUUCUGACAACCAAGUCUACUUUUCUCCAAUAAUAUAUUUAAUAGGAGCAUUUAUCAUCUUUUCUGUCCAGGAGACAGGCAAGAAUCUUCUCUUGCACCGCAUCUCAAAAGCUUCAAUUUGCUUUGUGUCACUAUCAAUAAUUUAUCAAAAGUCACAUUCAUGAGUAGCUACAGCAAAAAAUUAAGCAUUUCAGUAGUCAUGUCUUCUACUUUUGGGGUGAUUUUUUCCCCCAGGCUUUUAUAAGUGAAGCCGUGGAUGGAUCGACUAUUCUUCAAAUUUUUCCAGUUUCUAUUGGACAGGUUCUGAUUGGGUAAAUUUGAUCCCAGAUACAAUGUCUGCUGCUUGCAGUACAGAAAAGAAUCAUAUGAAACUUUACAAAUUAAUAUGAACUUGGAAUUUACCAUUAUGGUCAAAGAAAGAUGUCUGAUGAAUGGAUGAACAGUCUCAGAGCUGUACUGUAAUGAUGGGGUCAUUUCAUGGUGAAUGGAUAGGUAUGUGACAGUAUGACAGAGGAGCACACUGACAAUAUGGUGAUUCAGCAGCAGAGAAUACUGAGUAUCAGUGGAAGAAGAUUUUCCUAAAUUCAGGAGGGAAAGACUCUGCAGGCCCCAGAAGGAAGCAGCAGUGGAAUUAGGAGUGACUGAGAUACAAAACUGGCCCUGACUUUUUGCUCUUUCUUGCGAAGCAUGUAAGAUUAGGUGUUUAAUAAGCACUGCAGUAAUCU